UACGGGGGGAGCAAGCGUUGUUCGGAUUUACUGGGCGUAAAGGGCGCGUAGGCGGUCAGCACAAGUCAAUUGUGAAAUCUCCGAGCUUAACUCGGAAAGGUCAACUGAAACUGUGCGACUAGAGUGCGGAAGGGGCAACUGGAAUUCUUGGUGUAGCGGUGAAAUGCGUAGAUAUCAAGAGGAACACCUGCGGCGAAGGCGGGUUGCUGGGCCGACACUGACGCUGAGGCGCGACAGCGUGGGGAGCAAACAGG
rnacentral:rRNA from 1 species